AAACCAGGUCAAUAGAACAAACAUCUUUAAAUACGUUUCUCUGCCUUUUAGGAGUCAAAAUUACUAGUCUGCCUCUUUCAACUGAAACAAAAGGACAGAUUGUAAGAGCCAAGCCAUAGUGACUGCAGGCUGAGUUUGUACGGCUGGCAACUAAGGAGAAAAAAAGGUUUUACUUGUACAAUGAGCAAACUCCAUGAAAAUCACUGACCAACUCUACAGUAUCCUCUUACCAGCCAUGUGUUUGUAACAACAUCUCCUACAGUUGACUCCACCUUGCAUCCCAGUAAAGGAACCACAGCAUAGUCUGCAAUUGCUCUGUUUUGAGAGGGUAGAACUUUCCCAGC